CCUACGGGAGGCAGCAGUGAGGAAUAUUGGUCAAUGGACGAGAGUCUGAACCAGCCAAGUAGCGUGAAGGAUGACUGCCCUAUGGGUUGUAAACUUCUUUUAUAUGGGAAUAAAAUGUUCCACGUGUGGGAUUUUGUAUGUACCAUAUGAAUAAGGAUCGGCUAACUCCGUGCCAGCAGCCGCGGUAAUACGGAGGAUCCGAGCGUUAUCCGGAUUUAUUGGGUUUAAAGGGAGCGUAGGUGGAUUGUUAAGUCAGUUGUGAAAGUUUGCGGCUCAACCGUAAAAUUGCAGUUGAAACUGGCAGUCGUGAGUACAGUAGAGGUGGGCGGAAGUUGGGGGGGAGCGGUGAAAGGCUUAGAUAUCACGAAGAACUCCGAUUGCGAAGGCAGCUCACUGGACUGCAACUGACACGGAGGCUCGAAAGUGUGGGUAGCAAACAGGAGUAGAUACCCGUGUAGUC
rnacentral:rRNA from 1 species